CUGAUGAUGUUGUCCAGCCGGAUGUUGGCAAUGUGGCGUCUGUGACUCUUGAGGUCAUGUGCCUCCGAAUGGAGCUGGACAUGCUAAUCAAGGGUACCCAUCCUCAUCCAGAGUUUUUUGAAAGACUUAUUCCCUCCCUCACUGUGCAGGAUGAGGAAAAUC